UUGGUUACUAUUUUUGUAAGUUAUUUGGGAAUGAUUAUCACAGGUUCAUAUGCAUUUGACAUUUCAAAUAUCUAGUUUUAUUGAGUAUCAAAGAUUGUGAAAGUUUAGUGAGAGGCUAGGGUUUGGGAUUUGGAUCUACUGCACUAGCAAGAUAAAAAAAAGUAUUGCAUUUUUGGUAAUAUGUCAAAGAUGUUUUGACACACGUGACUAGCAUUGGUAUCACAUAUACCUUGUUUGCUUUUAUACAAUAAAUUAUGCUUUCCUAUAUGUAAUUGAGGUUGUUCUCAUUUUCUGCCACUGAUUUAUAGUUCUAUUACACCCUUUUCCUUGUCCUGCUUUCGUAUUUAUCAAUUCUCUCUCGCUUGUCUCGUGUUGUAGCCAUUUCCAGUUCUCCCAGGUCCCCUGCUGCUGUACAUGUACGUGGAAGUGUGUGGGUGAAAAUUUAUUUUGGUGUUUACAACUUCUAUGGGAAUUUUCCUUUGUAUAUGUCUGAUAGGCUACAUUGUGUUGAAUCAAUCAUGGCAAUUAAACAGAAGAUAGGGUAAGAAGACGAAGGAGACAAACAAGAUUUGAAGCUGAAGCUAGAGCCAUUUCAGUUUCUCCCAGAUGCUUAGCUGAUGAACAUGAAUAUGAUACUUCCCAAAUGAGCAGUUUCAGGUCGAACAAGCCAUUUCUUGAUAUCAGAAUUCCAGCCAAAACCUUGUCCUUUCGUGUGGUAAGCUUUUCUUAAUUCCAUAUAUAUAAUGAGAGAAAUUAACGAGUUUGGGCACUAUUACAGGUUUGUUGCUAGGUACACAUUUGUAAUAUUGCAGGAGAUAAUGUACUUAGGCUCUUAUCAUAUAAUGAGUUUGAGGAUUGUUUCGCAUUUUAAUCUAAUAAGUUCUCAUUUGUUUGCUGCUUGUUUUGACACUCUUGUUUAAGUUCAAUACUAUUGAAAAUGCUGGUCAGUAAAUGAAUGGUAUUAGUACCUACCGGUCUUGGUUGCUGCACAAUGGUGUUAAAUACAUGUUAGCUUGAGUAUUCCUUGCUUAAGAUUUUGAUACCAUUUUAUUAACAUGAGCAUGAAGCUGUUUAGGGUCGUCACAUGUGUCAAGUCAUGAUGGCUCUUCUGAAUUGUAGUAAGUGGCUACAUAUUUCUUGUUUUGUAGUGUUUCGUUAAAAUCUAAAAGUCUAGAUUGCCAUAUACAAUACCAUUUUUGUUUUGGGAAUUAGAUAUUGGUUAUGUAAUUGAAAGCUUAAAGUAAGUGUCUUCCUUACUCUUUACUUCAUCUUAU
rnacentral:lncRNA from 1 species